CCGUGGCUCAGUGGUAGAGCCCCUCCUCGGAAUGCAGAAGGCUCCGGGUUCAAUCCCUAGCUGAGAAGGA
rnacentral:tRNA from 1 species